UGCUGGAGGUAUCAGAAGUGCGAAUGCUGACAUAAGUAACGAUAAAGCGGGUGAAAAGCCCGCUCGCCGGAAGACCAAGGGUUCCUGUCCAACGUUAAUCGGGGCAGGGUGAGUCGACCCCUAAGGCGAGGCCGAAAGGCGUAGUCGAUGGGAAACGGGUUAAUAUUCCCGUACUUGGUGUUACUGCGAAGGGGGGACGGAGAAGGCUAUGUUGGCCGGGCGACGGUUGUCCCGGUUUAAGCGUGUAGGUGUGUGUUCCAGGUAAAUCCGGUUCACUUUAACACUGAGGCGUGACGACGAGGCACUACGGUGCUGAAGCAACAAAUGCCCUGCUUCCAGGAAAAGCCUCUAAGCAUCAGGUAACACGAAAUCGUACCCCAAACCGACACAGGUGGUCAGGUAGAGAAUACCAAGGCGCUUGAGAGAACUCGGGUGAAGGAACUAGGCAAAAUGGUGCCGUAACUUCGGGAGAAGGCACGCUGACACGUAGGUGAAGUGAUUUACUCAUGGAGCUGAAGUCAGUCGAAGAUACCAGCUGGCUGCAACUGUUUAUUAAAAACACAGCACUGUGCAAACACGAAAGUGGACGUAUACGGUGUGACGCCUGCCCGGUGCCGGAAGGUUAAUUGAUGGGGUCAGCGCAAGCGAAGCUCCUGAUCGAAGCCCCGGUAAACGGCGGCCGUAACUAUAACGGUCCUAAGGUAGCGAAAUUCCUUGUCGGGUAAGUUCCGACCUGCACGAAUGGCGUAAUGAUGGCCAGGCUGUCUCCACCCGAGACUCAGUGAAAUUGAACUCGCUGUGAAGAUGCAGUGUACCCGCGGCAAGACGGAAAGACCCCGUGAACCUUUACUAUAGCUUGACACUGAACAUUGAGCCUUGAUGUGUAGGAUAGGUGGGAGGCUUUGAAGUGUGGACGCCAGUCUGCAUGGAGCCGACCUUGAAAUACCACCCUUUAAUGUUUGAUGUUCUAACGUGGACCCGUAAUCCGGGUUGCGGACAGUGUCUGGUGGGUAGUUUGACUGGGGCGGUCUCCUCCUAAAGAGUAACGGAGGAGCACGAAGGUUGGCUAAUCCUGGUCGGACAUCAGGAGGUUAGUGCAAUGGCAUAAGCCAGCUUGACUGCGAGCGUGACGGCGCGAGCAGGUGCGAAAGCAGGUCAUAGUGAUCCGGUGGUUCUGAAUGGAAGGGCCAUCGCUCAACGGAUAAAAGGUACUCCGGGGAUAACAGGCUGAUACCGCCCAAGAGUUCAUAUCGACGGCGGUGUUUGGCACCUCGAUGUCGGCUCAUCACAUCCUGGGGCUGAAGUAGGUCCCAAGGGUAUGGCUGUUCGCCAUUUAAAGUGGUACGCGAGCUGGGUUUAGAACGUCGUGAGACAGUUCGGUCCCUAUCUGCCGUGGGCGCUGGAGAACUGAGGGGGGCUGCUCCUAGUACGAGAGGACCGGAGUGGACGCAUCACUGGUGUUCGGGUUGUCAUGCCAAUGGCACUGCCCGGUAGCUAAAUGCGGAAGAGAUAAGUGCUGAAAGCAUCUAAGCACGAAACUUGCCCCGAGAUGAG
rnacentral:rRNA from 1 species